UUCUGCAAGGCUGGUGCAGCAGCUGUAAUGUCAGUCCUUGGCGUCUGUAGGACUGAUUUUCGGCUGCUGUUAUGACAACAUUUUAUCUUGGAUGUGGCUGCUGAUGUUGUGAGACUUUUGACAGGUUUUUGUAUUUGUUUUUAGCUGCUGUUUGGAGGUUUAGGGGCUGCCGGUUUGGUUUCUUGUUUUGGCUGUGAAGGGGCUGUGCUAUGGAACUCAAUUUAGUAGAUUUUUCUGUGCAUUGAUCGUCAUAGCUCUAGAUUUUCUUGCUUGGGUUUUCCUUUUCUUGGGGAAAUUGCGCCGUAUUCUAUUCGGGCAACCUUUAUGGUCGAGUAUCUUAGAGACUAUAUUGCUGAUAGACUUAAACCGUAAUUAGUUGUGCUGGACUAUAUAGCUUGUCACGAGUCCUCUUAAAUUUAGGUGUUUUUUUGUUGGUAAUUGUGGCUGCUUUUAGGAGCUUUUUUUUAUUGGCAAUUGUGGAUUGACUAGUAUUAUGACAUUCAUAAUUAAGUUUAUGAUCAAUUUGUAAUGAGAUUAUCAUGAAUGUAAUUUGCUAUAUUCAUAUUUCAGUAUCUUAUUAUAGCAUUU